GACGUAGGGCGCGAGCGUUGCUCGGAAUCACUGGGCGUAAAGGGUGCGUAGGCGGGGCUUUAAGUCAGGGGGGAAAUCCUGGAGCUCAACUCCAGAACUGCCUUUGAUACUGAGGAUCUUGAGUUCGGGAGAGGUGAGUGGAACUGCGAGUGUAGAGGUGAAAUUCGUAGAUAUUCGCAAGAACACCAGUGGCGAAGGCGGCUCACUGGCCCGAUACUGACGCUGAGGCACGAAAGCGUGGGGAGCAAACAGG
rnacentral:rRNA from 1 species